CUACUAACCUGGCAGGGAGAUGCUGUGAUCAGGUGGUUUCCCAGCAAGCAGCUUAUCCAUUGCACUUGGAUAUGUUGGCCCCUGGGAUUUCCCCAAAUGUGGUAAACUCAACUGUAUAGUUUGUGAUAGUGGAGGGGACUGCAUUCGAGUUCUCUUCUG